rnacentral:rRNA from 1 species
CACGUAGGCACCAAGCGUUGUCCGGAUUUAUUGGGCGUAAAGAGCUCGUAGGCGGUUCGGUAAGUCGGGUGUGAAAACUCUGGGCUCAACCCAGAGCCGCUACCCGAUACUGCUGUGACUCGAGUGCGGUAGGGGAGCGGGGAAUUCCUGGUGUAGCGGUGGAAUGCGCAGAUAUCAGGAGGAACACCGAUGGCGAAGGCAGCUCUCUGGGACGGUACUGACGCUGAGACGCGAAAGCGUGGGGAGCGAACAGG